rnacentral:rRNA from 1 species
GGAAGGAGCUUGCUCUUUCCGGAUGAGUUGCGAACGGGUGAGUAACGCGUAGGUAACCUGCCUGGUAACGGGGGAUAACUAUUGGAAACGAUAGCUAAUACCGCAUAACAGUAGAUAUCGCAUGAUAGCUGCUUAAAAGGUGCAAUUGCACCACUACCAGAUGGACCUGCGUUGUAUUAGCUAGUUGGUGAGGUAACGGCUCACCAAGGCAACGAUACAUAGCCGACCUGAGAGGGUGAUCGGCCACACUGGGACUGAGACACGGCCCAGACUCCUACGGGAGGCAGCAGUAGGGAAUCUUCGGCAAUGGACGGAAGUCUGACCGAGCAACGCCGCGUGAGUGAAGAAGGUUUUCGGAUCGUAAAGCUCUGUUGUAAGAGAAGAACGAGUGUGAGAGUGGAAAGUUCACACUGUGACGGUAUCUUACCAGAAAGGGACGGCUAACUACGUGCCAGCAGCCGCGGUAAUACGUAGGUCCCGAGCGUUGUCCGGAUUUAUUGGGCGUAAAGCGAGCGCAGGCGGUUAGAUAAGUCUGAAGUUAAAGGCUGUGGCUUAACCAUAGUACGCUUUGGAAACUGUUUAACUUGAGUGCAAGAGGGGAGAGUGGAAUUCCAUGUGUAGCGGUGAAAUGCGUAGAUAUAUGGAGGAACACCGGUGGCGAAAGCGGCUCUCUGGCUUGUAACUGACGCUGAGGCUCGAAAGCGUGGGGAGCAAACAGGAUUAG